rnacentral:rRNA from 1 species
GAUGAACGCUGGCGGCGUGCCUAAUACAUGCCAGUCGAGCGAACAGACGGAGCGCUUGCUCCUCUGCCGUUACCGGCGGGCGGGUGAGUACCACGUGGCUACCCUACCUAUAAGGAUGGGAUAACUUCGGGAAACCGGAGCUCAUACACGAUCAUAUAUUGAAACGCAUGGUUCAUUGGACCACGCCGGAUUAGCUGACACUAAUAGAUGGAUCCGGGUCGCAUUAGCUAGUUGGUAGGGUAACGGCUUACCAAGGCAACGAUGCGUAGCCGACCUGAGAGGGUGAUCAGCCACACUGGAACUGAGACACGGUCCAGACUCCUACGGGAGGCAGCAGUGGGGAAUAUUCGGCAAUGGGCGAAAGCUUGACGCAGCAACGCCGCGUGAGUGAUGAAGGUCUUCGGAUUGUAAAACUCUGUUAUUAGGGAAGAAGAAAAGUGUAAUAAACCAUGCCCGUCUUGACGUUACCUAAACAGAAAGCCACGGCUAACUACGUG